UUAAGUUCAGCGGGUAUUCCUACCUGAUCCGAGGUCAACCUUGAGAAAUUUGAUGGUAAAGACCGGGCCGACCGACCACUUCAAUGCGUGCUAUAAAAGCUCGUUGCAUCUAGGGUCAAACACGACACCGUCACUAUCUUUCGGACCUGUCGGGUGUCUCACCGACAAAGGGUCCAACGACAAGCCAGGCUUGAUGGUUG
rnacentral:misc_RNA from 1 species